UACGUAGGGUGCAAGCGUUAAUCGGAAUUACUGGGCGUAAAGCGUGCGCAGGCGGUUUUGUAAGUCUGACGUGAAAGCCCCGGGCUCAACCUGGGAAUUGCGUUGGAGACUGCAAGGCUUGAAUCUGGCAGAGGGGGGUAGAAUUCCACGUGUAGCAGUGAAAUGCGUAGAGAUGUGGAGGAAUACCGAUGGCGAAGGCAGCCCCCUGGGAUAACACUGACGCUCAUGCACGAAAGCGUGGGGAGCGAACAGG
rnacentral:rRNA from 1 species